AUUGUUUUAUUUUUGCAAAAAAAUUUACUUAAAAAUUAUUUUACAUGUAAAAUAUUUAGUGGAUAAAGUUUUUUCUUAAAGAACUAAUUUGUCGGGUUAUUCGCAGUAAUUAAUAUUAUUUUUAAAAGAAAUUUUGAUAUAGAAAUUUUUAUAAAUAUUGGUAAAAUUUGUGCCAGCUACCGCGGUUACACAAAUAAUAUAAGUAAAUUUUAUUAGUAUUAGUUAAAUUUUAGUUAAAAAAUAUUAAAAAAUUUUUUAGGUGAAAUUUUAAAAUUUUAUUAAUUUUUUUAAAAAAAAUUAUUUAAGCUAUUAAAUUUUGAGAUUAAACUAGGAUUAGAUACCCUAUUAUUUAAAAAGUAAAAUUAAAAUGCUAGAGUAGUAGUAGUUAUAUUCUUAAAACUUAAAGAAUUUGGCGGUGUUUUAGUCUAUUCAGAGGAACUUGUUCUGUAAUCGAUAAUCCACGUUUAUCUUACUUAAGUUAGUUUUCAAUUUGUAUAUCGUCGUCAUCAGAAUAUCUUAAAAGAGAAAUAAAUUUUCUAAAAUUUUUAUUAAAAAUGAUGUCAGAUCAAGGUGCAGUUUAUAUUUAAGUAGAAAUGAGUUACAAUAAACUAAAUUUAAAUGAAUUUUUUAAUUAAAUUUAAAUUUGAAGGUGGAUUUGAAAGUAAAUUAAUUUAUAAAAAUUAAUUGAUUAAGGCUCUAAAACAUGCACACAUCGCCCGUCGCUCUCAUUAUAAUUUUUAAAAUGAGAUAAGUCGUAACAUAGUAGAUGUACCGGAAGGUGUAUCUAGAAUGA
rnacentral:ncRNA from 1 species